AGAAUGAACGCUGGCGGCAGGCCUAACACAUGCAAGUCGAACGGGUACCUUCGGGUGCUAGUGGCGGACGGGUGAGUAACGCGUGGGAACAUACCCCUUUCUACGGAAUAGCCUCGGGAAACUGGGAGUAAUACCGUAUACGCCCUUCGGGGGAAAGAUUUAUCGGUGAGGGAUUGGCCCGCGUUGGAUUAGGUAGUUGGUGGGGUAAUGGCCUACCAAGCCGACGAUCCAUAGCUGGUUUGAGAGGAUGAUCAGCCACACUGGGACUGAGACACGGCCCAGACUCCUACGGGAGGCAGCAGUGGGGAAUCUUGCGCAAUGCGCGAAAGCGUGACGCAGCAACGCCGCGUGGGGGAAGAAGGCCUUCGGGUUGUAAACCUCUUCAGUUGGGACGAAGGUCGCGCGGUUAAUAGCCGUGGCGGCUGACGGUACCUUCAGAAGAAGCCCCGGCUAACUACGUGCCAGCAGCCGC
rnacentral:rRNA from 1 species